CCUGAAACCGUGUACGUACAAGCAGUGGGAGCACAGGUUUACCUGUGUGACUGCGUACCUUUUGUAUAAUGGGUCAGCGACUUAUAUUCUGUAGCAAGGUUAACCGUAUAGGGGAGCCGUAGGGAAAACGAGUCUUAACCGGGCGUUAAGUUGCAGGGUAUAGACCCGAAACCCGGUGAUCUAGCCAUGGGCAGGUUGAAGGUUGGGUAACACUAACUGGAGGACCGAACCGACUAAUGUUGAAAAAUUAGCGGA
rnacentral:rRNA from 1 species